GACGAACGCUGGCGGCGUGCUUAACACAUGCAAGUCGAACGGUGAAGCGCCUUCCUUUUUGGUGGGUGUGGAUGAGUGGCGAACGGGUGAGUAACACGUGAGUAACCUGCCCCCUUCUUCUGGAUAACCGCAUGAAAGUGUGGCUAAUACGGGAUAUUCUGGGUCUGUCGCAUGAUGGGUCUGGGACAGAUAUUGUUUCGGUGGGGGAUGGGCUCGCGGCCUAUCAGCUUGUUGGUGGGGUGAUGGCCUACCAAGGCGGUGACGGGUAGCCGGCCUGAGAGGGUGGACGGUCACACUGGGACUGAGACACGGCCCAGACGCCGACGGGAGGCAGCAGUGGGGAAUAUUGCACAAUGGGCGCAAGCCUGAUGCAGCGACGCCGCGUGAGGGAUGGAGGCCUUCGGGUUGUGAACCUCUUUCGCCAGUGAAGCAGGCCUGCCUCGUUUGUGGGUGGGUUGACGGUAGCGGGAUAAGAAGCGCCGGCUAACUACGU
rnacentral:rRNA from 1 species